AAUUAUUAUUUUGAUUUUUUUUCAAUCUCUUCUUACAUAUAAAUAUUUUCUAACAAAAACAAAAGAUUUUUGGAAUAGAUAUUGAGCAACGGCGUGUACAAAAGCAUCGAGCAUCGGACGAUAAUAAACGCCAAGGAGAAGCGCCUCUCGAUCGCUACCUUUCAUGGGCCAAGAGAAUAUUCGGUGAUUGGUCCUCUUGCAGAGAUUGUGAAGGGGUGCAAGCCGAAGUACGUGUCGAUGAGCUUUGGAAAAUUCAUGAAAGCUUACUUCUCCGCUGAACUGAAAGGGAAGAGGUUUAUGAAAAACCUCAAGCUAUAGAAGCCUCUAAUGGUAGAAAGUUUAUGGUGUGUUGCUUGAACUUGAUAAUAAGUGUGUUUCGGUAUCUACUUUAUGGAAGCAUCAAAUAAACAUAUAGUAUAAUAUUGUGUAUAUAAAUCUUUGUAUGUUUAAAGUGAGUUGACUUAGUGUUCG
rnacentral:lncRNA from 1 species